rnacentral:rRNA from 1 species
AUUGAACGCUGGCGGCAUGCCUUACACAUGCAAGUCGAACGGCAGCACGGGUGCUUGCACCUGGUGGCGAGUGGCGAACGGGUGAGUAAUACAUCGGAACAUGUCCUGUAGUGGGGGAUAGCCCGGCGAAAGCCGGAUUAAUACCGCAUACGAUCCACGGAUGAAAGCGGGGGACCUUCGGGCCUCGCGCUAUAGGGUUGGCCGAUGGCUGAUUAGCUAGUUGGUGGGGUAAAGGCCUACCAAGGCGACGAUCAGUAGCUGGUCUGAGAGGACGACCAGCCACACUGGGACUGAGACACGGCCCAGACUCCUACGGGAGGCAGCAGUGGGGAAUUUUGGACAAUGGGCGAAAGCCUGAUCCAGCAAUGCCGCAUGUGUGAAGAAGGCCUUCGGGUUGUAAAGCACUUUUGUCCGGAAAGAAAUCCUUGGCUCUAAUACAGUCGGGGGAUGACGGUACCGGAAGAAUAAGCACCGGCUAACUACGUG